UGUGUGCCUUGGCAGUCGACUAGAGUUUGAUCCUGGCUCAGGACGAACGCUGGCGGCGUGCUUAACACAUGCAAGUCGAACGGUAAGGCGCUUUCGGGCGUACACGAGUGGCGAACGGGUGAGUAACACGUGAGGAACGUGCCCUUGACUUUGGUAUAGCACUUGGAAACAGGUGGUAAUCCCGAAUAUUCAGUUUCCCGGGCAUCCGGGUUGUUGGAAAGUUUUUUUGCGGUCAGGGAUCGUCUCGCGGCCUAUCAGCUUGUUGGUGGGGUAGUGGCCCACCAAGGCCUUGACGGGUAGCCGGCCUGAGAGGGCGACCGGCCACAUUGGGACUGAGAUACGGCCCAGACUCCUACGGGAGGCAGCAGUGGGGAAUAUUGCACAAUGGGCGGAAGCCUGAUGCAGCAACGCCGCGUGCGGGAUGACGGCCUUCGGGUUGUAAACCGCUUUCACCCAUGACGAAGCGCGAGUGACGGUAGUGGGGGAAGAAGCACCGGCCAACUAC
rnacentral:rRNA from 1 species